rnacentral:tRNA from 1 species
GACACAUCUUUGCGGAAAACGUGAUUUUGAACAUCACCAAAAGAAGUUCAACUCUUCUAUGUGUCU